UACGGGGGGUGCGAGCGUUGUCCGGAAUCACUGGGCGUAAAGGGCGCGUAGGUGGCUUGGUAAGCGUGUGGUGAAAGCCCGGGGCUCAACCCCGGGUCUGCCAUGCGAACUGCUAUGGCUUGAGCACUGUAGAGGCAGGUAGAAUUCCGGGGUGUAGCGGUGGAAUGCGUAGAGAUCCGGAAGAAUACCGGUGGCGAAGGGCGGCCUGCUGGGCAGUGGCUGACACUGAGGCGCGGACAGCGGUGGGGAGCAAACAGGG
rnacentral:rRNA from 1 species